UAAGCGGAGGAAAAGAAACCAACAGGGAUUGCCUCAGUAACGGCGAAGUGAAGCGGCAACAGCUCAAAUUUGAAAUCUGGCCCCCCGGCCCGAGUUGUAAUUUGCAGAGGAUGCUUUUGGCGAGGUGCCUUCCGAGUUCCCUGGAACGGGACGCCAUAGAGGGUGAGAGCCCCGUCUGGUCGGACACCGAGCCUCUGUAAAGCUCCUUCGACGAGUCGAGUAGUUUGGGAAUGCUGCUCAAAAUGGGAGGUAUAUGUCUUCUAAAGCUAAAUACCGGCCAGAGACCGAUAGCGCACAAGUAGAGUGAUCGAAAGAUGAAAAGCACUUUGAAAAGAGAGUUAAAUAGCACGUGAAAUUGUUGAAAGGGAAGCGUUUAUGACCAGACUUGGCCCGGUUGAUCAUCCAGCGUUCUCGCUGGUGCACUCUGCCGGUCCAGGCCAGCAUCAGUUCGCCGCGGGGGAAAAAGGCUUCGGGAAUGUGGCUCCCUCCGGGGAGUGUUAUAGCCCGUUGCGUAAUACCCUGCGGUGGACUGAGGUCCGCGCUCUGCAAGGAUGCUGGCGUAAUGGUCAUCAACGACCCGUCUUGAAACACGGACCAAGGAGUCGUCUUCGUAUGCGAGUGUUCGGGUGCAAAACCCCUACGCGUAAUGAAAGUGAACGCAGGUGAGAGCUUCGGCGCAUCAUCGACCGAUCCUGAUGUUCUCGGAUGGAUUUGAGUAAGAGCAUACGGGGCCGGACCCGAAAGAAGGUGAACUAUGCCUGUAUAGGGUGAAGCCAGAGGAAACUCUGGUGGAGGCUCGCAGCGGUUCUGACGUGCAAAUCGAUCGUCAAAUAUGGGCAUGGGGCGAAAGACUAAUCGAACCUUCUAGUAGCUGGUUUCCGCCGA
rnacentral:rRNA from 1 species